CUAUAUACGAAGCAAAAUGAUUGAAUGUACAUUUUAAAGUAUGUCUAUAUACAUUCGUAUGUAGUCCACUAGUGAAAUCUGUACAAAGAUUUAUAUUUAUGAACGGAGGGAGUAUAUACAAUUGCGUUAAUCUUGAAAGAAUAAUAAUAAGAAAAAUAAAACAGAGAGAAAACUACGCGUGCAUGCUCUGGCCUAUAAAGCGAGCGACGUCUUCGCAGAGGAUAACCGCUGUAGCUUCGGUUCUCAACUCCUGUCUUCUCUUUCCAGUCUUUGCCAAGACAUUUGUACAUGCAUAUUCCUCCUUUGAAA
rnacentral:lncRNA from 1 species